rnacentral:lncRNA from 1 species
UGACUGUCGAGCCGGUUACUUUGAUUGAGUAUUAUCGUAUUAUUUUAUUUAGUAUCUAUUGAUACAUGAGAUACUUGAUUUACAGUUUUUAGUUAUAUUGUAGAGGUAUGAUAGUUGUGAGGGAGAGGAAAAAUUUUACCAAGAUAAACGAGAAUAACAAAAAAUUUAAAACAAAUAGUGAGUCCCGCCACCCUCAAAUAAAGAUGGGUCAUUCACGUUGGAUUUGAUCGUGAGAAAUCAUGUAUAUGUAUAAAGGUAUAGAUAUUUCUUACUUUAAAAAAAAAAAAAAAAACUGUGAAUGU